AAUCUUCCACAAUGGACGAAAGUCUGAUGGAGCAACGCCGCGUGAGUGAAGAAGGGUUUCGGCUCGUAAAGCUCUGUUGGUAGUGAAGAAAGAUAGAGGUAGUAACUGGCCUUUAUUUGACGGUAAUUACUUAGAAAGUCACGGCUAACUACGUGCC
rnacentral:rRNA from 1 species